rnacentral:lncRNA from 1 species
GUGGAGAACGAUCAGAAGUCCUGGACGACAAAGAAAAAAACUUCAAAGCUGCUUCUGCGAACUCCGCUCCUGGACAACAGCUGGGAGGCUCUGUGUUUAAACGCGUGCACCUUGGACGUCAUGCUCCUGCCUCUGCAAGCCCUUUUGCUGGACACCAUGGAAGGCCCCCCACUCGAAAGUGUGCACCUUAGACUACACGCUCGACAAUACCAAGUUCUCUGUCCUUCUCGGCAUGAUUGUAGUGCCAUAUAAUAGUGAGGCAAUAAAUCAUUUUUGCUGGUCACUUGAUGUUCCAUGCAUGUUGCUUGGUUUCUGAACACAUGACUUGGUUUUAAGUUAUCAAGUUAUCUAUGUGAAAUAAAAGUGGGUUGGUUGGACGAGGAAUAUGCUUUCCUGGAGAGGCAACUGGCUCUCUUAGGUAGGGGGUGGUCGAGCGCGAUGAAGCAAGUUAACAUGUUAUGGGAGCAGAUGUCCCACCCUUUUGAAAUAAUCCUGCAGUAAAAAGUGGCCACAUGUCCCAAUAACAUCCCACACGCAUGCA